AGGUCGGAGGGCAUGUGUGUGCCACAGUACAUGUGUGUGUGAGGUUGGACACGGAACAUGUGUGUGUGAAGAUCGGAGGGCAUGUGUGUGCCACGGUACAUGUGUGUGUGAGGUCGGAGGGCAGCUUGGAGAGUUGGUUCUCCCGGGGAUCCAAAUCAGGUUGGGGUAAGGUCUGCCAAGAGUAUCUGACCAGCACACUGCCCCUCUUUUCUGUGAAUGAGCAAAAGAUAGCUCUCUUUUGGGAGGUGGCAGAUUCAUGAGCCCAGUAAGCCAGAAACCUUCACCCCCCACCCCGUCCUGGAUCAUGCUCCUUCAUCCGGGCCUGUCGACUUUCCCACGGGCAAGCAUUAAGUACCCACUGCAUGCCAGACUCAAGCUCUGGAAUUUUAGGGCCCUCGCUGGGAACUGGGCUCACAGCUGAGCGCCGGGAAGGGACCACCAUCAGAGUCAGGAGCCCACCCCAGGGAUGGUGCCCAGGGGGCAGCCCUUCAUCUUGACUCCCAGCCAGGAGGCAGGUCCCGCAAGCCCGAAACAGCAGUCCGGGCCCCUCCCUGAGGAGGUCAGACGCGGGCAGGGUGAGGCCUGGCCUGGUGAAAACGGCACCCUCGGGCCCCCCUCUGCUGGCCGUUCCGCUCGCUCCCGCAGCAAGUUUACAGGAUGUCCCAGCCUCCAUGUUUUAGAGGCUGCAAAGCACCUAGGCUCCCGGGUUGUCCCCAGCUCACCCCAGCCCCGCCUGAGUCAGAGGGUCAAGUCCACAGCCACGCCCCCAGGGCCCUUCCUGGUGCUCCCCACCCACCUGAUCCAGCUGCAGUCAGGUAGCCCGGGCUGUAGGGGACUCGCUCGCCUGCAGCCUCCCCCCAGGGAGCCCCAGCUCCCAGCCCUGUGGGUCGACUGUGACUCUGUAGCACAGCCAGGCCGCGCAUUUGGCAAGUGUGCGCCACCGGUGUGCACACGUGCGUGCGCGCCCCAACCCCCUCGCGCGGGGCGGGGACUGGCGGGCUCCCCGCUCCGCAGGGCGACCCUGGCCCGGGCCUCUGUCUCCCCCGUGGCGGGAGCUAGGACCACGUGAGCAAGGCCGGUUGGUGCCGCCGCCGUCUCCGGCUCGCCGCCGCCGCCAAGCUACGUGCAGCAGCUGCGUUCCCGGCGGGCUGGCGGCCCCAACACUGCAACCUGCUCCUGGCUAAGUGGAACUCAGGGGCGAGAGGCGGGAACCAGCCGCACAGGGAGGCCCUGAAAGGGGAAAUAAGCUGUUUGCAUGCAGGGGGGGGUGCCCCCUUUUCCCUCACCCCCUCCCCCUGCCCGCAAAAUGGCGACAGGAUUACAUGUCCCCCUUGGACGGACGCAGGACACGGUUCUGUCACCCGGGGUCUGUUGCAAAGCUAGGAACCUCGCCCUAUAACCAAGCACCCCUCCCCUUCAGAUUGAGCCCCCUCGGGCGCUAUGGUCGAGCUGGGGUGGGGGACGAGUCCCUUCUGGGGCUGUUUUGGGGCGCUGGGGCCACUGACAAACAUUCUGAUUGGGGCCGGGUGUUUUGGGUCCUUCAGGGGACACUUUGGAAAUGAUAGGGGCCGCUGGCAGCCGUCAGGAAACGCUGGCCCCUUCUCCCCUUACUGCCUAGGGUCGCAACUUCCGGGGGCCUCGAGUUGCCUGGAUGCCAUGCAGAAUUGGCACAUGGGCACCCCGAAGCAGUUUCCUGGCCUCUGCGCCCCCAUGUUGGGGGGUGCACUUGGGUGUGGUUUGGCCGGAUGGAGAUAGUUUUCCGGCUGCUUCCUGGGCGGUGUUGGCUGUGCCCCGCCUAGUCCCGGGCCCGCCCACUUCCCGCCCCUUUCUCAAUCCUCUCCUGGGAUCCCCUGAGCUGCUUAUAAAGCAAGAUGACACCAGGUCACCCCGGCCUAGCCUGGUAUCUGUUCCCUUUUCUGGUCGCCUCUAAACUUUAUUCCCUGGCUUCCAUGAGUCCUGUCUGGAGGGCCCCUUGGCUAUUUUCUAAGGGACAUGAGUCCUUCCGAGUACCUGUUCCCCAGUGGGUCAGCCUGGGGCCACACCAGGUGACCUCCCUAGUCCCGUUGUGACAUCGCAGAGGUUAGGUCUUCCUCCCGCCUCCUCCGGACUCUGUCACAAGCAGAAGUGCGCAGGGCCUUCAGAUCCACACUCUGCACACACACACACCACUCCUCCAACCCUUGGGCAGCAGAAUUCCAGGCUUUGGGGUACCCGGAGCAGCCGGGGUGCCCUGUCUCCAGAACUGGAGCCUAGAGCCAGCCAGACCGGGUCCGAGGCGCUGGGGUCCUGAGUGAACGGCCCUUUGCCUGUGACUGGCCUGGCUGCGACAAGAAAUUCGCCCGUUCUGACGAGCUGGCCCGCCACCACCGGACGCACACCGGCGAGAAGCGGUUCCCCUGCCCCCUGUGCACCAAGCGCUUCACCC